GGGCUUGUAGCUCAGGUGGUUAGAGCGCACGCCUGAUAAGCGUGAGGUCGUUGGUUCAAGUCCAAUCAGGCCCA
rnacentral:tRNA from 1 species